GUUGUUGACGGGGUAAGAGGUAAUAUGAGAUGCGUGCGCAGCUAAAUGAUCAUUCUUUAAAGUGUGUUUGAUUCCAAACAUAAUACAAUGAAGAAAAAAAGGGGGACAGCUAGGAAGUUAGGGAACAUUUUACUCCAGCACAAGCCUAAGGAGUGACCCAACAUGGAGGGCAUGUUACCUCUAACCUCGUCAACAACAUAGCAGAAUUACAAUCAAACUUCAACUUCCAGCACUUUUUGUGAAGCUGCCUGGACCAAUAGAAAAUAAUCCAGAACCAUAUUCAGCUGCAGCAAUAAAAAACAGACAAAUGGUUGACAGCAACAUUCCUGAAGAAGAAAAAAAAAAUAUCAAGAAUUAACAAAAAAUUUACUGGUAUUUUGCUUAAUAUUAUUUAAUAUUAUAAAUAAUCUUCGAUAACCACAUAUACCCGUAAGCUAAUUUUUCAAACUCUUACAAAGGAAUUUAACAUGUGAUUUCACAAUUUCAUUCUCUGCAAAGUCUGUUCCCUUUUGAUACAUUGUAAAAUUGUUUGCAUUAUUAUAUCUAGUCAUUUAGAUGUAGC